rnacentral:lncRNA from 10 species
UAUUUUUUGCUUGUUCCAAAGUACUUUCUGUAUAUAUGAUUGCACUGCCUAAGUGUUGUUCUCUCUUUGCAUAUGAGAAAACGAAAGCUUAGAGAGGUCAACUGACUUUCCCAAGGUCAUUUGCUGAUAAUAGAAUCAAAGGACAAGAGGCCAGGCUCUCUUGUGCUGAGCCCUGGCCUGGCUCCCCACUGCCUUGGGGUGGUGGGGUAGGGCCUAGUGGGGAGGUGAUGCUGAAGGUGGUGUGGGUGAUGGAUGGCAGUGCCGCAGGGCUCUUCUUUAAGGAGGCCCACCCCUGCCUUUCACUUCCUGCUCCAGCUCCACAUGCCCUGUCAUUUAAGCCUCAGCACUUUGAGAGGCCUCGAAGGCCGACCCCGUGACUCCCCCAGAAAUGCCUGUGCUUCCUUCCCUGUCAUCUCAAUGCAGAGAGCGCUCACCUCAGCAAGUUCAGACUGUGCAGGCUCGGGAGGACCUUCCGCUCAGCCAGGAGCAUGGCUGGUUUGUCUCUGGAUCCUCAGCACGCAGCGGGCAGCCCAGAGCUGGGCAGGGCGUUGCUGCUCCAUGCGCUCUGCACUGACUUGAUGACGUAGAGAGAGAGAAGGCCGCCUGUUUCCCAGGUGGAGAAACUGCAUGGGGAGAACAUUUUUUUCUUAGACACCUGGGGAAUGAAGCGUUAACUAAGGUGAUACAACUUGGAGUCCGGGAAAGGGGAUUUGGGCAGAGGCUGUGGAGGGGCCUGUGGGGUGGAGAAGGCUGCAAUGAUCCCAGGUCCCCAGGAAAGAGUGGAUCCACCUGUGUGCAGACUUUCCCCACCCUAGGAAAACAGGAUGCAGGCCUUACCUCCUGUCUUUGAGCCAAAAGGAGGGAGAGCCACCACCUGAGUGUCCCAUAUGAGACUGCUUUGCCCCAGGAAGGGGGAAAAUCCUAUGUCACUGCCAAGAAGGUCCAGCUAGCUUCAGUAGAGAAAUCAUGACAUCCAGUGGACAUAUGUGUCAUCCCCAGGCUCAGGCAAUGGCCUCCAGCCAGGAGGCCUUCUAGGGCUGGGCCAACAAGUCACCAUAACAAUCACAGCCCAUAACUACUGGACGAACAGGAAGAGCAGGAAACCUCUCUGAAGAUGGACAGUCUAACACAUGCCUGCUCUCCCACACCCAGCAAUAAUGGAUCCGACAAAUAAGCAAAUUAUACGAAUCCCACAUAGCCAAUAAAGGGGGAAGACAGCAUUUCCUCUCUGUCUAGAGGACCAUUUCUCAGUGUACUGCUCCUCAGAACACUAGUCC